CAUCCUCCAAGGCUAAAUACUCCUGACUGACCGAUAGUGAACCAGUACCGUGAGGGAAAGGCGAAAAGAACCCCGGCGAGGGGAGUGAAAAAGAACCUGAAACCGUGUACGUACAAGCAGUGGGAGCACCCUUUGGGGUGUGACUGCGUACCUUUUGUAUAAUGGGUCAGCGACUUAUAUUCUGUAGCAAGGUUAACCGAAUAGGGGAGCCGGAGGGAAACCGAGUCUUAAUUGGGCGUUAAGUUGCAGGGUAUAGACCCGAAACCCGGUGAUCUAGCCAUGGGCAGGUUGAAGGUUGGGUAACACUAACUGGAGGACCGAACCGACUAAUGUUGAAAAAUUAGCGGAUGACCUGUGGCUGGGGGUGAAAGGCCAAUCAAACCGGGAGAUAGCUGGUUCUCCCCGAAAGCUAUUUAGGUAGCGCCUCGUGAAUUCAUCUCCGGGGGUAGAGCACUGUUUCGGCUAGGGGGCCAUCCCGGCUUACCAACCCGAUGCAAACUGCGAAUACCGGAGAAUGUUAUCACGGGAGACACACGGCGGGUGCUAACGUCCGUCGUGAAGAGGGAAACAACCCAGACCGCCAGCUAAGGUCCCAAAGUCAUGGUUAAGUGGGAAACGAUGUGGGAAGGCCCAGACAGCCAGGAUGUUGGCUUAGAAGCAGCCAUCAUUUAAAGAAAGCGUAAUAGCUCACUGGUCGAGUCGGCCUGCGCGGAAGAUGUAACGGGGCUAAACCAUGCACCGAAGCUGCGGCAGCGA
rnacentral:rRNA from 2 species